AACGAACGCUGGCGGCAUGCCUAACACAUGCAAGUCGAACGACACCAUCGGGUCUAGUGGCGCACGGGUGCGUCACGCGUGGGAAGCUGCCCUUAGGUUCGGAAUAACUCCCCUAAAGGGGUGCUAAUGCCGGAUAAUGUCUUCUGACCAAAUAUUUAUCGCGUUUGGAUGGGCCGGCGUUGGUUUAGCUAGUUGGUAGGGUAAAAGCCUACGACGGCGAGGAUCCAUAGCUGGUCAGAGAGAAUGGUCAGCGACACUGAGUCUGAGACACGGCGCGGACUCCUACGGGAGGCAGGAGAGGGGAAUAUUGGACAAUGGGGGAAAGCCUGAUCCAGCACGGCUGCGUGAGUGAUGAAGGCCGUAGAGUUGUAAAGCUCUUUUACACGGGAUGAUAAUGACGGUACCGGGAGAAUAAGCUCCGGCUAACUUCGUG
rnacentral:rRNA from 1 species